rnacentral:misc_RNA from 1 species
UGAAAACUGCAUCUCGAGCUACUGAUGCUAAGAUAUCAGCACCAGGACAUUUCUUUUCUAGUUCAGAUUUUGCAGCAUCAAUUACUUGGAACCCUCUUAAGGUUAAGUUUGGGCUUGCUUCUUUCUAUGUUUUUUUACCCUUGACAGAAUUUAAGAGCACAGAGCCAUCACAUCCCUGCAAAAACUCUAAACAUUGUUAGACUCCACCAUCAUCUUUUUUU